rnacentral:rRNA from 1 species
UGGAUUAGGCAUGCAAGUGAACGGUAACAGAGGUGCUUGCACCUGCUGACGAGUGGCGAAAGGGUGGGUAACCCGUGAGCAACCUGCCUCGAAGUCCGGGAUAGCCUUGGGAAAGCGAGAUUAAUACCGGAUGUGGCUGUUUUUCCGCAUGGUUUUACAGCUGAAGUUUUUUCGCUUCGAGAUGGGCUCGCGUUCCAUCAGCUAGUUGGUGAGGUAACGGCUCACCAAGGCAGCGACGGAUAGGUGGUCUGAGAGGAUGGUCACCCACACUGGGACUGAGACACUGCCCAGACUCCUACGGGAGGCUGCAGUCGAGAAUCUUCCGCAAUGCGCGAAAGCGUGACGGAGCGAUGCCGCGUGCCGGAUGAAGGCCUUCGGGUCGUAAACGGCUGUCACCCGGAACGAAUAUUGACGGUACCGGGAGAGGAAGCCACGGCUAACUACGUGCCAGCAGCCGCGGUAAUACGUAGGUGGCUAGCGUUAUUCGGAUUUAUUGGGCGUAAAGGGUUCGUAGGGGGCCGAGUAAGUCUGAUGUGAAAUCCAACGGCUCAACCGUUGAACUGCAUUGGAUACUGCCCGGCUAGAGUACUGGAGAGGUAAGCAGAAUUCCUGGUGUAGCGGUGGAAUGCGUAGAUAUCAGGAGGAAUACCGACGGCGAAGGCAGCUUACUGGACAGUUACUGACCCUCAUGAACGAAAGCUAGGGGAGCAAACAGGAUUAGAUACCCUGGUAGUCCUAGCUGUAAACGUUGUUCACUAGAUGUAGGCGGAUUGGUCCCGUCUGUGUCCAAGCUAACGUGAUAAGUGAACCGCCUGGGGAGUACGGCCGCAAGGCUAAAACUCAAAGGAAUUGACGGUGGCCCGCACAAGCGGUGGAGCAUG